rnacentral:rRNA from 1 species
GGCCGCCCUCCGUCCGGGGGGUGGCCAGCGCCCGCCAGAGGACCAUCAAACUCCGGUCAGUGAACGUUGCCGUCUGAAAAACAAUCAAUAAACUAAAACUUUCAACAACGGAUCUCUUGGUUCUGGCAUCGAUGAAGAACGCAGCGAAAUGCGAUAAGUAAUGUGAAUUGCAGAAUUCAGUGAAUCAUCGAAUCUUUGAACGCACAUUGCGCCCCUCGGUAUUCCGAGGGGCAUGCCUGUUCGAGCGUCAUUACAACCCUCAAGCUCUGCUUGGUGUUGGGCACCGCCCUUCCGCGGGCGCGCCUCAAAGACCUCGGCGGUGGCGUCUUGCCUCGAGCGUAGUAGAAAACACCUCGCUUUGGAGCGCACGGCGCCGCCCGCCGGACGAACCUUUUGAACUUUCUCAAGGUUGACCUCGGAUCAGGUAGG